rnacentral:rRNA from 1 species
AGCAGCCGCGGUAAUUCCAGCUCCAAUAGCGUAUAUUAAAGUUGUUGCAGUUAAAAAGCUCGUAGUUGAAUUUCGGGAUCAAUAUAUCGGUCGUGCCUUCGGUACGUACUGGUAUCGUUGAUUUCUACCUUCUGACGAACCAUGAUGUCAUUAAUUUGGUGUCAUGGGAAAUCAGGACUGUUACUUUGAAAAAAUUAGAGUGUUUAAAGCAGGCACACGCUUGAAUACAUUAGCAUGGAAUAAUGAAAUAGGACGUUUGAUCCUAUUUUAUUGGUUUCUAGGGUCGACGUAAUGAUUAAUAGGGAUAGUUGGGGGCAUUAGUAUUCAAUUGUCAGAGGUGAAAUUCUUGGAUUUAUUGAAGACUAACUACUGCGAAAGCAUUUGCCAAGGAUGUUUUCAUUAAUCAAGAACGAAAGUUAGGGGAUCGAAGACGAUCAGAUACCGUCGUAGUCUUAACCAUAAACUAUGCCGACUAGGGACCGGAUGAUGUUAAUUUUUUAAUGACUCAUUCGGCGCCUUAAC